ACCCUACAGAGUCCACAGACUGCUCCACAUUUCACCCUACACAGUCCACAGACUGCUCCACAUUUUCACCCCUACCACCAGUCCACAGACUGCCCACAUUUCACCCUACACAGUCCACAGACUGUUUCACAUUUCACCCUACAGAGUCCACAGACUGUUUCACAUUUCACCCUACAGAGUCCACAGACUGCCCCACAUUUCACCCUACACAGUCCACAGACUGUCCCACAUUUCACCCUACACAGUCCACAGACUGCCCCACAUUUCACCUACACAGUCCACAGGCUGCCCCACAUUUCACCCUACACAGUCCACAGACUGCUCCACAUUUCACCCUACACAGUCCACAGACUGCCCCACAUUUCACCCUACACAGUCCACAGACUGUUUCACAUAUCACCCUACACAGUCCACAGACUGUUUCACAUUUCACCCUACACAGUCCACAGACUGCCCCACAUUUCACCCUACACAGAGUCCACCGACUGUUUCACAUUUCACCCUACACAGUCCACAGACUGCCCCACAUUUCACCCUACAGAGUCCACCGACUGUUUCACAUUUCACCCUACAGAGUCCACAGACUGUUUCACAUUUCACCCUACAGAGUCCACAGACUGCCCCACAUUUCACCCUACAGAGUCCACAGACUGCCCCACAUUUCACCUACACAGUCCACAGACUGCCCCACAUUUCACCCUACACAGUCCACAGACUGACCCACAUUUCACCCUACACAGUCCACAGACUGCCCCACAUUUCACCCUACACAGUCCACAGACUGUUUCACAUUUCACCCUACACAGUCCACAGACUGCCCCACAUUUCACCCUACACAGAGUCCACCGACUGUUUCACAUUUCACCCUACACAGUCCACAGACUGCUCCACAUUUCACCCUACAGAGUCCACAGACUGUUUCACAUUUCACCCUACACAGUCCACAGACUGUUUCACAUUUCACCCUACAGAGUCCACAGACUGCUCCACAUUUCACCCUACAGACUCCACAGACUGCCCCACAUUUCACCCUACAGAGUCCACAGACUGCCCCACAUUUCACCCUACACAGUCCACAGACUGCCCCACAUUUCACCCUACAGAGUCCACAGACUGUUUCACAUUUCACCCUACAGAGUCCACAGACUGUUUCACAUUUCACCCUACACAGAGUCCACAGACUGCUCCACAUUCCACCCUACAGAGUCCACAGACUGCCCCACAUUUCACCCUACACAGAGUCCACCGACUGUUUCACAUUUCACCCUACACAGUCCACAGACUGCCCCACAUUUCACCCUACACAGUCCACAGACUGCCCCACAUUUCACCCUACAGAGUCCACAGACUGUUUCACAUUUCACCCUACAGAGUCCACAGACUGCCCCACAUUUCACCCUACAGAGUCCACAGACUGCUCCACAUUCCACCCUACACAGUCCACAGACUGCCCCACAUUUCACCCUACACAGUCCACAGACUGAUCCACAUUUCACCCUACACAGUCCACAGACUGCUCCACAUUUCACCCUACAGACUCCACAGACUGCCCCACAUUUCACCUACAGAGUCCACAGACUGCCCCACAUUUCACCCUACACAGUCCACAGACUGCCCCACAUUUCACCCUACAGAGUCCACAGACUGCUCCACAUUUCACGCUACACAGUCCACAGACUGCCCCACAUUUCACCCUACACAGUCCACAGACUGUCCACAUUUCACCCUACACAGUCCACAGACUGCCCCACAUUUCACCUACACAGUCCACAGGCUGCCCCACAUUUCACCCUACACAGUCCACAGACUGCUCCACAUUUCACCCUACACAGUCCACAGACUGCCCCACAUUUCACCCUACACAGUCCACAGACUGUUUCACAUAUCACCCUACACAGUCCACAGACUGUUCACAUUUCACCCUACACAGUCCACAGACUGCCCCACAUUUCACCCUACACAGAGUCCACCGACUGUUUCACAUUUCACCCUACACAGUCCACAGACUGCCCCACAUUUCACCCUACAGAGUCCACCGACUGUUUCACAUUUCACCCUACAGAGUCCACAGACUGUUUCACAUUUCACCCUACAGAGUCCACAGACUGCCCACAUUUCACCCUACAGAGUCCACAGACUGCCCCACAUUUCACCUACACAGUCCACAGACUGCCCCACAUUUCACCCUACACAGUCCACAGACUGACCCACAUUUCACCCUACACAGUCCACAGACUGCCCCACAUUUCACCCUACACAGUCCACAGACUGUUUCACAUUUCACCCUACACAGUCCACAGACUGCCCCACAUUUCACCCUACACAGAGUCCACCGACUGUUUCACAUUUCACCCUACACAGUCCACAGACUGCUCACAUUUCACCCUACAGAGUCCACAGACUGUUUCACAUUUCACCCUACACAGUCCACAGACUGUUUCACAUUUCACCCUACAGAGUCCACAGACUGCUCCACAUUUCACCCUACAGACUCCACAGACUGCCCCAUUUCACCUACAGAGUCCACAGACUGCCCCACAUUUCACCCUACACAGUCCACAGACUGCCCCACAUUUCACCCUACAGAGUCCACAGACUGUUUCACAUUUCACCCUACAGAGUCCACAGACUGUUUCACAUUUCACCCUACACAGAGUCCACAGACUGCUCCACAUUCCACCCUACAGAGUCCACAGACUGCCCCACAUUUCACCCUACACAGUCCACAGACUGCCCCACAUUUCACCCUACACAGAGUCCACCGACUGUUUCACAUUUCACCCUACACAGUCCACAGACUGCCCACAUUUCACCCUACACAGUCCACAGACUGCCCCACAUUUCACCCUACAGAGUCCACAGACUGUUUCACAUUUCACCCUACAGAGUCCACAGACUGCCCCACAUUUCACCCUACAGAGUCCACAGACUGCUCCACAUUCCACCCUACACAGUCCACAGACUGCCCCACAUUUCACCCUACACAGUCCACAGACUGAUCCACAUUUCACCCUACACAGUCCACAGACUGCUCCACAUUUCACCCUACAGACUCCACAGACUGCCCCACAUUUCACCCUACAGAGUCCACAGACUGCCCCACAUUUCACCCUACACAGUCCACAGACUGCCCCACAUUUCACCCUACAGAGUCCACAGACUGUUUCACAUUUCACCCUACAGAGUCCACAGACUGUUUCACAUUUCACCCUACACAGAGUCCACAGACUGCUCCACAUUUCACCUACAGAGUCCACAGACUGUUUCACAUUUCACCCUACAGAGUCCACAGAGUGCUUCACAGAACACCACCAAAGGGGACCAUCAAAUGAUCCCCAAGAAGUAAUGAGCGCCUUAAAAGUAAGAAAACUGCCGGGCGCGGCCUGUGAUCCCAGCACUUUGGGAGGCCGCGACGGGCGGAUCACGAGGUCAGGAGAUCGAGACCAUCCUGGCUAACACGGUGAAACCCCGUCUCUACUAAAAAAUAGAAAAAAAUAGCCAGGCGCGGUGGCGGGCGCCUGUAGUCCCAGCUACUCGGGAGGCUGAGGCGGGAGAAUGGCGUGAACCUGGGAGGCAGAGCUUGCAGUGAGCUGAGAUCCGGCCACUGCACUCCAGCCUGGGCGACAGAGAGACACUCCAUCUCAAAAUAAAAAGUGAGAAAGCCAACUUCCUCCCCCUCUCUUAACUCCCUCUCCUCAUUUCCACAGAACCAAAGAAAUAUGAAGGGCCAGUGACACCCCACUGAAGAACGCUCUCCUGGUGGUUACACUCUGUACACAGGGAGCACAGCCCUGCUCCGUGCUGCCUGAGGCUACUAUUCUAUACUACACUAGUACGAUCUGUUUGUUCUAUUCUAUACUAUUCCAUUCUCUACGAUAGAACACUACAGUUUCAUUCUAUACCAUAUAAUACUGUACUAUCUGUUCUGUUCUAUACUAUUUUCUUCCAUACGGAAAGGAGUUAGCCAGCUUGCUUUAAGCAGGGAAGGGUCCCAGAGAGCCUCCCGCCCAUGUUUUGUGCAGAUAGGGGGACUUGCACGGGGGGCUCGCCUAAACAUGCUCACAGCAGACUAAGGGCCCCCAUGCGCAUGGGGGAAUGGGGUGGAGCCACCAGAAAUUCACUCCUUACACAGACAGGGAGCCCAGCCCCAAGGAGCCCAGCCCCAUCAGCUUCUAUAUAAAAAGCCCUUGUAGUCAGCUGGGAAGGGGGCAACCAGCAACCUGCUCUCAGGACCCCUCUUUUCGCUGAGAGCUUAACUUUUAGCUUAACAAGUUCCACUGCACUCACUCUUCGAUGUCCCCGUGCCUGUUUCUUCCCGGUCAUGAGACAAGAACCUGGACCCAGCCGAGUUAAAGAGCAAACUCCUGCAUCAGUGCUACAGAACACUAUCCUCUCUGUUCUGUGCCAUGCGACUCUACUAUUCCACACCACACUACGUAAUAUUAAUACUAUGCUGUAUGUUCUAAUCUAGACUGUAUUAUGCUAUGCAAUACUACGUCAUUAGUUCAACUGUAUACUCUACAAUACUAUCCCACUUGUUCUAUUCUAGACCAUGUAAUACUAUUUGUCCUAUUGUAUACUAUACUACAUAAUGUUACAACUGUUUCUUCUAUGCUACCCUAUACAACAUUAUACUAUUUGUUCUAUUCUGCGCUACACUGUAUAAUUCUAUUUGUUUGUUCCAUUCUAUACAAUAUCUUGCAUCACUUUACCAUGCUCCACGAUACAAGAGUAGAGCCAGUUAUACGUUCAUAAUCUCUUUUCCAAGCUCUUACCCAGUAAGAAAUGUGAUGCUUUACUAUGCCUCACAUAAAUGCACAUUUCAUGAUAAUCAAUGCCAUUUCCUAUGGUUAUAGAAUUCUGUCUCUACGAUUCUAUUGAUAUGGUUUAUUUGGGCUUUUCUGUAAGUCCUUUGCAGUGUCUGGUUUCCUAGUGAAAAGAUGACUAAGGUCCCGAUAAGAUCCUACGAAACCAGCAUCCACACAGGCUCACCUGUGUGCACUCUGCUGGACUCCGUGUUGAAGGAGUGACAGGAAGACAGACGGCUGUCGGUGGAUGGAAGGCAACAAGCACAGAGUAGAUUCCAGAACUGAGACAUGUACCAAGGCUCUGGCACAGCUGAGGGUCGAUCCCAAUUCUAGCCUCUCACAGAAAGGCAGAGGAGACUUAGCACAAAGAGCAUGGAACUUUGCUUUAAUAAAGCAAAUGCUUACCACCCACUGUGAGGAGCUCAAGGAGAAAUGGCAGUAGGCUCUACUAAUAACUACUGCUUUAAAAUGGAAGGGAGAGGGUACAUUUUCACAUGGGCCAUGUGGAAAGUUGGCUGACCUGCCGCUGGACUGAUGCUGGACCUGCCGCUGGACCUGCCCCUGGACCUGCAGCUGGACCUGUCCCUGGACCUGAUGCUGGACCUGUCCCUGGACCUGCUGCUGGACCUGCUGCUGGACCUGACGUUGGACCUGACACUGGACCUAUCCCUGGACCUGCCGCUGGACCUGCCACUGAACUGCUAACAAAUGCUGCAGAUUUUUAUGGAGAGAAAAGUACAAUGCGUCUGAGAGCAGCUGUCCCAGCUCUGGAUGAAGCCGGCAGAAAAAGGAAGCAGCAGAGACGCUGGCAUCAUUCAGUGGGCAGAGUCAAUGACCCUCCUCUAAGUCCAGCAAGCUCAACCUGCAUGUCUGCAACUAGAAAUACCAAUCAUAAGCCAGACUCCUGGCAAAUACCAUUGACCUGCUGUAAUUCUGUGUGGUGUAUUAUGUCCCAUGCACAGGAAAUCAUUCACAAAGCAUUAACAAGGAAGUAUUAACAUGACUUUUUAAUGCAAUAUAACA
ensembl:lncRNA